rnacentral:lncRNA from 1 species
UGGUUAUGCAGAUUCGGAUUCAGAAGAAACAGUUGACAGUGACCCACAUGAAAGUCAGUUGGCUGGUGAUGGGAUUGGGGAUGACGGUGGCAUGCGUUAGUUAAAGUUUGGUCUAUUUGUUAUCCAAUAAGAUAGGAAGGCGUGCGAGAGUUUAUGCGUUUUUGCUUCAUCUGUUUCAUUUUUUUUUUCUUGGAAGGCAUCUUUUUUCACUUCUUUUUGGCCGGCAAGUUUUGCCAAGGAAACAAUUUAUGGCCCAUGGUUUAAUAAAGUUUAAGCACGCCCCUUUGUAGGCGUAUUCUCUUACAUGUUAUGCUCUGGCCGUGUCAGACGUCUUACCACGAACAAACAAUAGCUAUUAUGCAUGUCGUGCAUCGCACGGGCUUUCUUCCUAGUUUAUUUUAAAAAAAUUACAAGAAUGAAAACCACUUUAAAUAGAGCUACUUUAACUAUUUCAUUUACAUGUGGAUUCCGUUAACAUCCCAGACUAUCUUUAAUGGCGUUUCUGAAUAUGUGUCUCUGGUCUAUUUGGCACCAUUUAAGAUGAACUGACAAACAUUUGCCUUUGUACAAAGACGGUAUCCGAAGAAGGAGGUGGGCCCAAAUAUUUUUUUUUUUAAAUUUUUUAAGUGUUAGAAUAGAAAUGUAAUAUCUAAAACUACAUUUUCUAUAAAUUUUAAUGAAAAAUAUAUAGUUUUGUGUAUUUUAUGUU